rnacentral:rRNA from 1 species
UCAUUAUCGAAUACACUUGAGCAGGCUGUUGCUGGCCCUUGGGGGUAUGUGCACGCUUGUCCUUUGUUAUUUCUCCAACUUGUGCACAUUUUGUAGACCCUGGAGCUUUCAUGGAUUUAAUUUAAAUUCGAGUCGGGACUGCUGUUGCUUCCCUUUGUGAAGCCGGCUUUGCCUUGCAUCUCCAGGUCUAUGUCAUUUUUAUCACAACCUCAUGUUUAGAAUGUUGGAUCAGAAAUGGAAAAAAAAAUAUACAACUUUCAGCAACGGAUCUCUUGGCUCUCGCAUCGAUGAAGAACGCAGCGAAAUGCGAUAAGUAAUGUGAAUUGCAGAAUUCAGUGAAUCAUCGAAUCUUUGAACGCAUCUUGCGCUCCUUGGUAUUCCGAGGAGCAUGCCUGUUUGAGUGUCAUUUAACUUCUCAAACCGCUUGAUAUGUCAAGUGGCUUGGAUUUGGGGGUCGUUUGCAGGCUUUUUCCAAGGUCGGCUCCCCUGAAAUGUAUUAGUGGUAUCUGAGCUGCUNCUAUAGGUGUGAUAAUUAUCUAUGCCUUUGGUGGGAGUAUGCUGUGCACUGCUUAAACGGAAAACUUGAUAAAUUUGACCUC